AGAACGAACGCUGGCGGCAGGCUUAACACAUGCAAGUCGAACGCGUGUAGCAAUACACGAGUGGCGCACGGGUGAGUAACGUGUGGAUAUCUGCCUUUUGGUUCGGAAUAACCCCGGGAAACUGGGGCUAAUACCGGAUGGUUCCUACGGGAUAAAGAUUUAUCGCCAAAAGAUGAGUCCGCGUACGAUUAGCUAGUUGGUGAGGUAAUGGCUCACCAAGGCGACGAUCGUUAGCUGGUCUGAGAGGACGAUCAGCCACACUGGGACUGAGACACGGCCCAGACUCCUACGGGAGGCAGCAGUGGGGAAUAUUGGACAAUGGGGGCAACCCUGAUCCAGCCAUGCCGCGUGAGUGAUGAAGGCCUUCGGGUUGUAAAGCUCUUUUGGCGGGGACGAUGAUGACGGUACCGCAGAAUAAGCCCGGCUAACUUCGUGCCAGCAGCCGC
rnacentral:rRNA from 1 species